GGAGAAGCUGUGGCUCAGUGGUAGAGCAUCCGUUCAACAUGCAGAAGGUCCCAGGUUCAAUCCCUGGCAUCUCCA